AGCAGUCGCCGCGGGAAUACGGAGGGUGCAAGCGUUAAUCGGAAUUACUGGGCGUAAAGCGCACGCAGGCGGUUUGUUAAGUCAGAUGUGAAAUCCCCGGGCUCAACCUGGGAACUGCAUUUGAAACUGGCAGGCUGGAGUCUUGUAGAGGGGGGUGGAAUUCCAGGUGUAGCGGUGAAAUGCGUAGAGAUCUGGAGGAAUACCGGUGGCGAAGGCGGCCCCCUGGACAAAGACUGACGCUCAGGUGCGAAAGCGUGGGGAGCAAACAGGAUUAGAUACCCGUUAGUCCCUGUCUCUUAUACA
rnacentral:rRNA from 1 species